CGUCUAUCUCCAACAUGUAUCCAAGAAGACUUUCCCAAUCGAUUGUGUCAGUGCAACAUAACCUCAAUAUUAGAACACAACUUUUGGGAAAUGCACAUAACGAUUGCUUUUUAAAGUAUGCCCUUAUAAUUCGUCAAAAAAUCAGUGAUUUUAAGAGCAUUAAAGAGGUGAAUAAGAGGUUUCGAGAGUUUAUUAAAAGUGGAAAGCUGUACAAAUUUAUUAUACAACUACCUCAUUCGAAGAGUAAUUCUAAUGUUCUUAAGAUUUGGGUUCAUCAUUGUGAAUGUGUUUUUGCACAUAGAAUAAGAAGAUGCCAACAGAUGGUUUGCUUGUAUUCAAAAUGGUGGGAAGAGCAAGCUUUAAAAGAUUUUUUUCAGAAAAUGCGACAAACUUUAACGAGAAAAAGUAAAUUUGCAUUAGGUGGAAUUGGUAUAUCUAUUUAUAAUUGGGAAGAAAACAGAAUUUCUAUUGACUACAUCAAACAACAUGCUAAUGAAUUAGAUUAUGUUUAUAUUUUAAAAGAAAAUACAAUAUGCUUAGCAUGUGACACGACAAAUAAAGAUAAAGAAUCAACAAAACAUUCAGUUUGCAAGUGCGGUGUCUCUAAAAAUAAAAGAACUUAUGAUGAGUGGGCUACUUUUAUUGAACAAGAUGAUUUAAUUGUUUGGAGAAGGUUACAUCCUUCAGGACAAUAUGAAUAUAAAGUAUACGGUUCAUACAAUGAUGUAUCAGCAGAAGAUUUUUUAAAUGUCCAGAUAGAUACUGAUUAUCGCAGGAAGUGGGAUGUUACUGCAGUUGCUUUGGAAGUAGCUGAAAGUGAUCCAGAACCCGAAUCAAAUAGUGAUAUAAUUUAUUGGGAAAUGUUAUGGCCUAGAUUAUUUGUCAAUAGAGAUUAUGUAUUUAACCGUCGAUACUUUGUCGAUGAGGAAAACUCCACUAUGUAUAUAGUCAGCAAAAGUACAGAACAUCCUAAUUUCCCGAAAUAUGCAGAAAAAUACCGUAUUGAAGAUUACUGGUCAUGUAUGGUAAUAAAACCUUACACUGAAACAAAUAAGCCUGGAAUUGAAUUCAGUCUGACUUAUUUCGAUAAUCCAGGGGUAAAUGUACCAUCCUCGGUCACAACAUGGGUGUCUAUGAGAGCUAUGCCCGAUUUUUUGCAACGUUUAAGGGAAGCAACUAAAAAGUAUAGAGAUUACUGUAAAACAGAAGGGGUAAGCAGAGCAUGUAAAAUAAUAAAAGAAGAGGAAAGACUUAAAGAAGAGCAACUUAUGAGAGAUAAGUUAGACUACUGUUCACUUAAAUCCAGAGACAAGACGAAAUUAAAAGAACACAAUCCUAAAGGUGGCAUUGAACCCACAGAACAAUAUGAUCUACAUUCAGUUAUACUUCUAUGAGAUGAUUCUAUCAUUUGAAGAAUAUUUUUGGUUGCUUUGCCACAAUUGAGAAAAAGAGUAUGACCGUAGCCGAAGAGUGGUCUACAGAGUGUUUUGUAUAUUUUGAUGAGUAAGCCCUUCCCAUUAAAUCAAAAGAGGUCUUAUUUAAAAGGGUAGCGACACUAGUAGUGACCAAUAAAAAAGUACCAACACAUAAGGAGUAGUUUUAGAGAAGUCAACGAUGAACGAAGAGAUGAUUAGACUGUUCCAUUAAGGCUGUUUCAAGAUGUUCUUAUGCUUAUAGUACAAAUGAAUGAUGUAUGGAUUUAUAUUAGCAAUUGGUUAAGUUUUAAUACUACAAUAAAUUUGUAUAAA